AUACGAGAUUAGCGAGUGUCUCGUGGGCUCGGAGAUGUGUAUAAGAGACAGGUUCCCUAUCCGUCGUGGGCGUAGGAAAUUUGAGAGGAGCUGUCCUUAGUACGAGAGGACCGGGAUGGACAUACCUCUGGUGUACCAGUUGUCGUGCCAACGGCAUAGCUGGGUAGCUAUGUGUGGACGGGAUAAGUGCUGAAAGCAUCUAAGCAUGAAGCCCCCCUCAAGAUGAGAUUUCCCAACUUCGGUUAUAAGAUCCCUCAAAGAUGAUGAGGUUAAUAGGUUCGAGGUGGAAGCAUGGUGACAUGUGGAGCUGACGAAUACUAAUCGAUCGAAGACUUAAUCAA
rnacentral:rRNA from 1 species